rnacentral:misc_RNA from 1 species
GAUGAAGAACGUAGCGAAAUGCGAUAAGUAAUGUGAAUUGCAGAAUUCAGUGAAUCAUCGAAUCUUUGAACGCAUCUUGCGCUUCUUGGUAUUCUGAGGAGCAUGCCUGUUUGAGUGUCAUUAAAUUCUCAACUACACUGACUUUGAAUUGGUGUGGCUUGGAUUUGGGGGGAAAAUUGUUGUGGGCUUUUUGUAUAGUCUGCUCCCCUGAAAUUGAUUAGCGGUACCUUUGUGGAACUGUCUACAGGUGUGAUAAUUAUCUACAUCUUAGACAUCUGCUGGAAUGCUGCUUUCUAAACCUUACUUGUAUUGACAAUCUUGACCUCAAAUCAGGUAGGACUACCCGCUGAACUUAAGCAUAUCAAUAAGCGGAGGA